rnacentral:rRNA from 1 species
AAUAGAUACCCGGGUAGUCCACGCCGUAAACGAUGAGUGCUAAGUGUUAGAGGGUUUCCGCCCUUUAGUGCUGCAGCAAACGCAUUAAGCACUCCGCCUGGGGAGUACGGUCGCAAGACUGAAACUCAAAGGAAUUGACGGGGGCCCGCACAAGCGGUGGAGCAUGUGGUUUAAUUCGAAGCAACGCGAAGAACCUUACCAGGUCUUGACAUCCUCUGACAACCCUAGAGAUAGGGCUUCCCCUUCGGGGGCAGAGUGACAGGUGGUGCAUGGUUGUCGUCAGCUCGUGUCGUGAGAUGUUGGGUUAAGUCCCGCAACGAGCGCAACCCUUGAUCUUAGUUGCCAGCAUUCAGUUGGGCACUCUAAGGUGACUGCCGGUGACAAACCGGAGGAAGGUGGGGAUGACGUCAAAUCAUCAUGCCCCUUAUGACCUGGGCUACACACGUGCUACAAUGGGCAGAACAAAGGGCAGCGAAGCCGCGAGGCUAAGCCAAUCCCACAAAUCUGUUCUCAGUUCGGAUCG